UACAGAGGGGGCAAGCGUUGUUCGGAAUUACUGGGCGUAAAGGGCGCGUAGGCGGCCUUCUAAGUCGAACGUGAAAUCCCUGGGCUCAACCCAGGAACUGCGUCCGAUACUGGAAGGCUCGAAUCCGGGAGAGGGAUGCGGAAUUCCAGGUGUAGCGGUGAAAUGCGUAGAUAUCUGGAGGAACACCGGUGGCGAAGGCGGCAUCCUGGACCGGUAUUGACGCUGAGGCGCGAAAGCCAGGGGAGCAAACGGG
rnacentral:rRNA from 1 species